rnacentral:lncRNA from 1 species
GGGGCAACGGUAAUAACCAUCGGGUUUUACACGGUGAUGUGGGGCAAAGCUAAGGAAAUGGCCUUAGUCGAAGAUGACAACAAGGCUAACAACGAGGAUGCUAACGAAGCUGACCUUGAUUCUCCAUCAGGUUCACAGAAGGCUCCUCUCUUGGAAAGUUACAAGAACGAUGAGCAUGUAUAAGUAUCAUCAACCAGUUAAUACAGCUCUCUAUAUUUGUGUUUGUGUAUGAAAAUUUGAUAUGUAAAAGUCUUUUAAUUUAUUUGACGAUACAAAUGUGAUCUUUAAUUUUAGGAAUCAAAUUUCUUCUAAUCACAAUUAUAUAAUCUAGUGUACGCAUAACAAAUCAAUGAAUUUUAGAUGACAAACAAAAUAAUUAUGUACAAUUCAAUAGUGUAUGUUUGGCAGAAGAAUGACUUUUGUUCAAUUUAGCUGGAAAUUGUUAAAAAUGAUUCGGAUUCGCGUAAUCAUUGUCCUUUCAGAUACCUUUUUAAUCUAGUGAAUCGAAUAGUUUGAUAAGCCUAACCACUUAAGUUCAGACCAAUCUUUUUCUGCUUUAGUUAACUAUUUUGUUUCCAUUUACGAACUGUCUGGUGAAUGUUUUUGAUCUCAGCUUGAUAGGGGCAACGGUAAUAACCAUCGGGUUUUACACGGUGAUGUGGGGCAAAGCUAAGGAAAUGGCCUUAGUCGAAGAUGACAACAAGGCUAACAACGAGGAUGCUAACGAAGCUGACCUUGAUUCUCCAUCAGGUUCACAGAAGGCUCCUCUCUUGGAAAGUUACAAGAACGAUGAGCAUGUAUAAGUAUCAUCAACCAGUUAAUACAGCUCUCUAUAUUUGUGUUUGUGUAUGAAAAUUUGAUAUGUAAAAGUCUUUUAAUUUAUUUGACGAUACAAAUGUGAUCUUUAAUUUUAGGAAUCAAAUUUCUUCUAAUCACAAUUAUAUAAUCUAGUGUACGCA